rnacentral:rRNA from 1 species
UACGUAGGGUGCGAGCGUUGUCCGGAAUUACUGGGCGUAAAGAGCUCGUAGGUGGUUUGUCGCGUUGUUCGUGAAAACUCACAACUCAAUUGUGGGCGUGCGGGCGAUACGGGCAGACUGGAGUACUGCAGGGGAGACUGGAAUUCCUGGUGUAGCGGUGGAAUGCGCAGAUAUCAGGAGGAACACCGGUGGCGAAGGCGGUCUGCUGGGCCGUUGCUGACGCUGAGGCGCGACAGCGUGGGGAGCAAACAGG